CCAGAUUUGCUAAACAGAUAAGGCAGCAAUAUGUCAUGAAAAUGAACACUCAAGAGGCCAAGCAGAAAGCAGAUAUUAAAAUCAAAGACAGAACACUAUUUGAGGAUCAGAAUUUGUCAAUGUCUGUGCAAGAUAAUGAAAGCAACCGAGAACCUUCAGAUCCUAGUCAGUGUGAUGCUAACAAUAUGAAGCAUUCUGACUUGAAUAAUCCCAAACUCUCAGUCCCUGAUAAUAGACAGCUGUUAGAGCAGGGGAGCAUCAUGAAGGCUCAGCCCCAACAUGAGUCUCUGGGAAUUAUUUGGAACUUGUUGCAAAAUCUAUUCAAGAUUGGAUUACAAAAGAAGAAGCUAUAUAUCAGGAAUCUAAAAUGAAUGAGGAAAUCAUCAGGACCAGAGCUGAGCUGGAAUUGAAAUCUUCUGCUAAUGCCAAACUUACUUCUGCUAGCAAAAUUUUUUCCAUUGAAGAAUCUAAAAGUAACAAAGGAAUCAGCAAAACGGAGAUAUCAGAUCAAGA
rnacentral:sRNA from 1 species